GAGGAAGCAGGCCAGCUGAAGCCAAGUCUGUGGCAGGUGGACCAAACUGUACACAUGAAAGGAAGCAUUCCUGCAUGACAACAGAUUGUAUGUGCCCAGGAAGCCAGAGUCUGCCCCCCGCCCCCCAUGUGCUUGUGCCAGCCCAGGUUUAGCCCAUCAACACAGCCCACAAGGAAAAUACCUAUAAGAAGCAUGACCCAGGAAGAAACAGGUGGGCUUCAGAACAGCGCUGGAACGACCCCCAUCACCCUUUCUGAGGACUGAUCACCCCCAGAAAAGGGCCUUCAGGAUGAGUAAUGCAUGUGUUUGGGCACAAGCUCCUUCAUCAGGCAACAUGCACCUGGAUGUAUUUCUGGCCAUCUUGUCUGCCCAGCCUUCUCAGAAUGACACCUUCCAUGUGCAUAAUAAUGAACUGCAAGUACUUCCAAGCCUGUCAUAGCUCUAUGCUUUUGAAAAUCAGUCUGUUCUCAAGCACACACCGUUCCACCAAUACUGCAUGCACUUCUAUCGGAACAACAGCAGGAUAGUAGGAGGACUAUGGCAAGACUACUAUGGACUUAUCAAAUUUGUCAGCACAAAGAUCUUCAGGAUACAAGAGUGCCAUCUUGUUGAAAACCUAGCAAACACUGCAUUUCUUGCCAUUUUCUAUGGCUUUAAGAUGCAUUCUGGCAGUUAAUGGCAUGUACGUGAGAUAUCCUAAUCUCAUUUGAUUUUUACAACACUUUUGAGAGCUAUGUUGGCGAAAAGGCAGUGAUUUUACCCAAGAUCUCAUGAGAGGUUUCAUUACUUGAGCAGCUAUCUCCUUUGAUUAAAUCCAGUGCUGAACUUCCAGCUAUACUGACAACUAAACCACAGUGUGUACUCUCUAACAGGAGAAACUUCAUUAUCUGUAUUCUCUGUCAAGUGAUGAUGAUAGUAACAAC